rnacentral:rRNA from 1 species
UACGUAAGGACCGAGCGUUGUCCGGAAUCAUUGGGCGUAAAGGGUACGUAGGCGGUUAGAAAAGUUAGAAGUGAAAGGCUAUAGCUCAACUAUAGUAAGCUUUUAAAACUGUUUAACUUGAGAGAUGGAAGGGAAAGUGGAAUUUCUAGUGUAGCGGUGAAAUGCGUAGAUAUUAGGAAGAAUACCGGUGGCGAAAGCGACUUUCCAGCCUUUUACUGACGCUGAGGUACGAAAGCGUGGGUAGCAAACAGG